UUUUUUUCUCUACAGUAUGGAUAUAGAUUCUAACAUUUCUUUGUUCCAACUAUAUGCUGCAUACAGGAUGACGAAGAUGAUGAUGUCAAUGAUGCUCGAGAUGCCGGAAUGGCUGCAAAGAGUAAGAAAUAUGCAAUUUGAAAUGUGUUACAUUUAGUAGUACUUCCUUCAAUGCUAUCAUAUAUUUGGAGCUUCUUUAAAAAUUUUCAUUGGUCACAUGCUCGUAUGAAAAAUUUCUGAUUAAUAAUAUAUAAAAUCAUGAAAACAUAGGUCCAGUUGUUUAAUAUGUUCUUGCUUUCCUUUUCCCAAAUGGCAUUAUAUUUUCAUUGUGGUUGCCUCUGCUAUUUGCAAAUCUUUUACCUCUUCAGAUAUCGCAGAAUCAUCAAGUCGGUGUAAUGGAAAUGUUAAAAGUAAUAGCUGCCCUUGAGCUGAAGGGAGUCUUUAGCUGCAUUGCUCCAAUGCCUGAGAAAGCGAACAAACUUUGAAACCAGAGAACAGGUACUGCUUUGCUUUUAAAUUCCUGAAAUUAUGCUGCUUACUGACAAUUUCAUAUCUCAUUCUCCACUUUCAUCAACUCCUCUGACAUAUGGAAAUUGCACAGAAAAGACAAAUAGGUUCAGCUAAGUUCAGUGGAAUUCUAUUAGGGAUUGCCUUGUUAAUUAAUUAAUUUAUUUUUAUUGUUUUUCCAAAGAAUAAGUGGUUGCCAAUUGCGUUAAUUUGUUCCUAUGCAUCAGCCAAAUGCUAGAAAAUUAGGAGGCCAAACUGAAGGCUAUUGCUUUCUCAAUUGCAACCCCUUUAUUUAUUUAUUUUUUAUAAAUUGUGAUCCUCUCAUAAUUUAAAUAAAAUCAAUAAUAUACCCACAAAGAAUAUUGUAUGACACCACAGACAAUAUUCACUACUAUACAUGUAUUUUCAAUAGAGUUUAUUUAUUUGUGCUUCGAUCAAUACGACAAAAUCCUAGCCUUUAAAUCAUAAUUGAUUCAAUGGUUGAGGUUAAUGUUGUUGAUACAAGAGUUUGGUUUGAACUCUAAUUUUCUUCUCUUGUAGUAAAAUAUUUGCUAUUCAUGUAUAACAAUGCUACUUACAUUGGAGAGAAAUUGGCAGAUAAUAUAAAAUAUAGAAAUAAAAUGG
rnacentral:lncRNA from 1 species